rnacentral:rRNA from 1 species
AGAAUCAACGCUGGCGGCGUGCCUAACACAUGCAAGUCGCACGAGAAAGGGUAGCAAUACCUGAGUAAAGUGGCGCACGGGUGAGUAACACGUGAAUGAUCUACCUCCGAGUGGGGAAUAACUGAGAGAAAUCUUAGCUAAUACCACAUAACACUUACGAGUCAAAGCAGCAAUGCGCUUGGAGAGGAGUUCGCGGCCGAUUAGUUAGUUGGCGGGGUAAUGGCCCACCAAGACGAUGAUCGGUA